AGAGCUUUGAUGAACCCUAACAUGCCAUCUGACUAAUCUUGCUGAAACCCAGAGGCUGUUUCUGAGCAA
ensembl:snoRNA